AACGCACAUUGCGCCCGCCAGUAUUCUGGCGGGCAUGCCUGUUCGAGCGUCAUUUCAACCCUCAAGCCCCCGGGCUUGGCGUUGGGGAUCGGCAGCCCACCGGCGCCCUCGCGCGCCGGCGCCGUCCCUCAAACCCAUCGGCGGUCACGCCGCGGCGUCCCCUGCGUAGUACUGCACCUCGCACCGGACCCCGGCACGACCACGCCGUAAAACCCCCUACUUCUUGUGGUUGACCUCGAAUCAGGUAGGACUACCCGCUGAACUUAA
rnacentral:misc_RNA from 1 species